rnacentral:tRNA from 2 species
GCAGUCGUGGCGAAAUUGGCACACGCGCAUGAUUCAGGUUCAUGUGGACUUACGUCCAUGAGGGUUCAACUCCCUUCGACUGCA